rnacentral:tRNA from 1 species
UGGGGAAGUACUCAAGAGGCUCAAGAGGACGGUUUGCUAAAUCGUUAGACUGGGAAACCGGUGCGCAGGUUCGAAUCCUGUCUUCUCCGUC